AGAGUUUGAUCAUGGCUCAGAACGUACGCUGGCGGCACGCCUAAUACAUGCAAGUCGAACGAAGUAGCAAUACUUAGUGGCAGACGGGUGAGUAACAUGUAGGUAUCUACCCUUUGGCCUGGAAUAACACGAGGAAACUUGUGCUAAUACCGGAUAAGUCUUUACGGAGAAAGCUUUAUGCACCAUUGGAUGAGCCCGCACUUGAUUAGUUUGUUGGUGGGGUAAUGGCCUACCAAGACUGUGAUCAAUAGCUGAUUUGAGAGGAUGAUCAGCCACAUUGGGACUGAGACACGGCCCAAACUCCUACGGGAGGCAGCAGUGGGGAAUCUUGCACAAUGGAGGAAACUCUGAUGCAGCGAUGCCGCGUGAGUGAAGAAGGCCCUUGGGUUGUAAAGCUCUUUCGUCGGGGAAGAAAAUGACUGUACCCGAAUAAGAAGGUCCGGCUAACUUCGUGCCAGCAGCCGCGGUAAUACGAAGGGACCUAGCGUAGUUCGGAAUUACUGGGCUUAAAGAGCUCGUAGGUGGUUAAAAAAGUUGAUGGUGAAAUCCCAAGGCUCAACCUUGGAACUGCCAUCAAAACUUUUUAGCUAGAGUGUGAUAGAGGUAAGUGGAAUUUCUAGUGUAGAGGUGAAAUUCGUAGAUAUUAGAAAGAACACCAAAUGCGAAGGCAACUUUCUGGGUCACUACUGACACUGAGGAGCGAAAGCAUGGGUAGCGAAGAGGAUUAGAUACCCUCGUAGUCCAUGCCGUAAACGAUGUGUGUUAGACGUUGGAAAUUUAUUUUCAGUGUCGCAGCGAAAGCGAUAAACACACCGCCUGGGGAGUACGACCGCAAGGUUAAAACUCAAAUGAAUUGACGGGGACCCGCACAAGUAGUGGAGCAUGUGGUUUAAUUCGAAGAUACGCGCAGAACCUUACCAACACUUGACAUGUUCGUCGCGACUUUAAGAGAUUAAAGUUUUCGGUUCGGCCGGACGAAACACAGGUGCUGCAUGGCUGUCGUCAGCUCGUGUCGUGAGAUGUUGGGUUAAGUCCCGCAACGAGCGCAACCCUCACUUUUAGUUGCCAUCAUUUAGUUGGGCACUCUGAAAGAACUGCCAGUGAUAAGCUGGAGGAAGGUGGGGAUGACGUCAAGUCCUCAUGGCCCUUACGUGUAGGGCUACACACGUGCUACAAUGGUAUCUACAACAGGAAGCAAAACAGCGAUGUUAAGCAAAUCCUUAAAAGAUACCUCAGUUCGGAUUGCACUCUGCAACUCGAGUGCAUGAAGCUGGAAUUACUAGUAAUCGUGGAUCAGCGUGCCACGGUGAAUGCGUUCCCGGGUCUUGUACACACCGCCCGUCACACCAUGGGAGUUGGUUCUACCUUAAGGCAAGGUUUUAAACCCUUGACCACGGUAUAGUCAGCGACUGGGGUGAAGUCGUAACAAGGUAGCCGUAGGGGAACCUGCGGCUG
rnacentral:rRNA from 1 species